UACGUAGGGACCAAGCGUUGUUCGGAUUUACUGGGCGUAAAGGGCGCGUAGGCGGCAAAUUAAGUCAUCUGUGAAAUCUCCGAGCUUAACUCGGAACGGUCAGGUGAUACUGAUCUGCUAGAGUGCGGAAGGGGCAAUCGGAAUUCUUGGUGUAGCGGUGAAAUGCGUAGAUAUCAAGAGGAACACCUGAGGUGAAGACGGGUUGCUGGGCCGACACUGACGCUGACAGCGCGAAAGCCAGGGGAGCAAACGGG
rnacentral:rRNA from 1 species